rnacentral:lncRNA from 1 species
GAUCUCCAAGAGCUCACUGAGCUCAGGGGGAUAAAAGCCCCUCACGAAUGUUCUCUGCUGCCAUUCCCCACAAAACCAAAUUCUUCACCGAACCCAGAAGACUAUAGGCCUCGAGAGAUGCUUAACUGAAAAGAUUCAGCUGAAUCAAACUUGGACAAGGAAGAAAAGAACUAGGCUCCAGAAAGGCAGAAGCCUGUUGGAAAUUCCUAACCAGCAGAGGCCAGGUGGCUGUAAUUAACAUCACAACAUCAAGACCAGAGAGGUAUUUAAUAUGCUUGACACAAAGGGAUCUGUGGUGGUGGUGAAUAUAUUAUGAUGUCUGCAGAGUUGACAUAUAAGAAUACCUGACUAAGGUGUUGUUUGAUUUGCGUAUAAAAAGAUAUCGAGAUCUGGUGAGCAGAAGGCUGAUGUCAGUGCUAUAAUGGAAAAUCACUGCUUCCACCCAGUUUCCAGCCCUACACCUAUCUACAUUGUUUGAAGUGGGCGUUAGAUCGGACCCUGCAAUGCCACCAGAGCUGUACCUAGUAAAUAUUCCUUCUUUCUUUCUCCAAAGAAACCUGAAGCCAUUUGCCAGGGUAAAGACCCCUGGGGAAUAAGUAAUACCCAGACUUUCUGAGGAGAUGCAAAAUACCAUCUCAGUCCUCCAAUUUGAAUGAGAGCUUGUGGAAGCCAAGCAAUCGACACAGUUAUAAGCCACGGUCUUCUGAUAAUGGGUCCAGUAUGCCCUUGAGCCCACUCUUUGGUAAUGUCCUCAGGUUCUAAAUGUAUAAUUGAUGCAGAUAUAUGUAGCAGCUCACAUUGGUUGGAAUGAGAGGUAUUACAGUAGAAAGUCUCUGAAAUUUGCACCCCCCUGGCUAAGGUAAACAAUCAGAAGUAAUCAAAGUAAGUAACUCAGAAAGAAUGCCACAUCUCAUAAAGAACCACAGAGAUAUCUGUCACCAUCAAAGAACCAAAGGAUGGUGGUACAUCAUCCUCUAUCCACUCAUCUGGACCUUCACCAUCACCGAAUGAAUCAUGGCAGAUGAGAGUGAACACUGUAAACUCAGCAAGAUGGCAGAUCCAGUCACAGUUACUCUGCCCAGUGGAGUCUCUUUACUAGAGCAGAUCAUCACUUCUUCUGGAAUGUAAUGUUAAACACAUGGAUUUCAGAUGUGAAUUUGCCUUUGACAUACAAUAAUCUUCAGACAUUAGGAUUAGAACAAAAACUUUGCUAUGUUUCCAUUUCAUAAAGUUCACACACCUAAUUCCCAUUUUUCUGAAACCAGUGGUGGUUAUUAAUGACUAUGAGUACAGCAACAAGUCCCUUAGAGAGGAUGGAAAUAUUAUACCCAGGAAUUCAGUGAUGUGAUGAAAUGAACACAAACAUGUUGCUUUUCUUUGAAUUUUAAAAUGAAGUUUAAAAAAACCAAUCUGCAACCUUGGUCCAGAACCCUCUUUCAAGGCCAAGAACAAUCUAAAGACUCUGGGAAAAGGGUGUACAAGGAUGGAUUCAUGGCAUGGAUUUCAGCAGGCUUGUCUGGGGCCUGACAUGCUGCCUCACCUUCUCUCCAGGUGUGUUUUUCAAACACUAAUAUCCAUCAGCAACACCCACAUCAGCUAGAGGUAAUACCCAUAACAGGUCCAAUGUAGAUCCUGAAAACCUUACUUGGCUGAGAACAUUUGGAGAAACCCAGUGUUUUUCAUCCCACACUGGUCAUCGUCCCUGGAGGAAAACUGACAUCAAGAGAGAGGUCAUGGGGAAGAGGUGUGACUUUUGCCACCAACACAUUCUUCUCCAAAGCUCUGCAAAACUACUCACUUGGGGAAAUCUCAAUAACCCGGUGACCAUUCUGGAGACAAACAAAUUCUACAAAUGUGUUGCUAAGGAAUUGGAUUGGCAGAAUACAAAUUCAUGAAGUAGGUAAACAGAGCUGAAAAUGUUUUCCAGUUAAGACACCAGAUCAACAGUUGUACCAGUUGGAUAUUUUACUUAUUCCUAGUAGCUAGCUCCC